UUGUUGGUGAAAGCUUUUGUCAAAUCUACCCAAGAGUCGAUUGACUUAGGUUUGAGAGACUCGAGCCAUGUCAGCGGUGCGAGUUCCAUGCAUAUGGGAAAGUGGAUGACUUUGGUGUCGUUAUUGCCCCCGACUGCUUGGACUGCUAGCGAGUAGCAUUGUAGCCAUUGAAUUGGGUCUUGCUUGCCAUCAUACUUGGUGAUUCCUGUUGGCUUGAACUUCUCGGGUAGUCUUGUCUUCAUUACCC
rnacentral:lncRNA from 1 species